UGCCAGACUCCUACGGGAGGCAGCAGUGGGGAAUAUUGGACAAUGGGGGGAACCCUGAUCCAGCGACGCCGCGUGAGUGAAGAAGUAUUUCGGUAUGUAAAGCUCUAUCAGCAGGGAAGAAAGAAAUGACGGUACCUGACUAAGAAGCCCCGGCUAACUACGUGCCAGCAGCCGCGGUAAUACGUAGGGGGCAAGCGUUAUCCGGAUUUACUGGGUGUAAAGGGAGCGUAGACGGUUACGCAAGUCUGGAGUGAAAGGCGGGGGCCCAACCCCCGGACUGCUUUGGAAACUGCCAUGCUAGAGUGCUGGAGAGGUAAGCGGAAUUCCUAGUGUAGCGGUGAAAUGCGUAGAUAUUAGGAGGAACACCAGUGGCGAAGGCGGCUUACUGGACAGUAACUGACGUUGAGGCUCGAAAGCGUGGGGAGCAAACAGGAUUAGAUACCCUGGUAC
rnacentral:rRNA from 1 species